AGACCCAUUCCUUGGCAUUACAAUCAAAAUGCUAUCACAUCAAGCUAUUCUUUUGCUUGGUGGGAUUAAAGAAAGAUGGGAGAAGGAAAUUGCUUGGAUGGCUCUUCAAGGUAUCAACUCACCACUAGUUCAAGUCUCUGCGCAAUAUGUUGCUGGAAAGUGGAAAGGAUUGAGCAUAUGGUGAACACGAACAACAAUAUGCAAGUUGAAGUCUCGAAACAGAAAAAGUGAGACAGACAUUAAAUGUGGUUGUACUGAGUAACACUAUUGUAUAGUGACCAUUGCUAAAACAUGUUGGUUUCUACUUGAUUGGUGCUUUUUUUUAUGAGGGAUUGCUCCUAAGACAUAUGGGUUGAUGCAUGUCAAUUGUACUAAAGAUUGUGGCUUUUAUUUUUCAAACUAAUAUGUUGAUGUAUGUUAAACACUUAUGUUGUUGCACAUCGAUUAAUGCAUAAAUGUGAUUUUUCGAGCA